rnacentral:rRNA from 1 species
ACUCAAAUGAAUUGACGGGGACUUGCACAAGCGGUGGAUCAUGCGGCUCAAUUCGAUGACAAACGAAGAACCUCACCAGGGUUAGAAAUCCUGACGAAAGGCCUAGGAAACUAGGUCCCUCGCAAGACGGCAGGACAGGUGAUGCAUGGUCGUCGUCAGUUCGUGGCUUGAGUUGUUCCCUUCAGUGGGGUAACGAACGCAACCCGCGUUGCCUGUUUUAAAUGUCAGGCGAGACUGCCCUCUCACGAGGGAGGAAGGUGCGGAUGACGCCAGAUCAGCAUGUCCCUCUGAUAUCCUGGGCUGCACGCAUGAUACAAUGGACGCGACAGAGAGACGCAAUAGGGUAACCUGGAGCAAAUCUUGAAACGCGUCCCCAGUUCGGAUUGAGGUCUGCAACUCGACCUCAUGAAGCCGGAAUCGCUAGUAAUCGCGGGUCAGCUAUACCGCGGUGAAUACGUUCUCAAGUCUUGUACACACCGCCCGU